AUGGAAACAAGGUAAGAGAAGGUGGGGAAAGGCAGAGUGAUCUCCUGUGACCUUCGGGAAGGAAUGGGAUAUACUGGCUACUAAAACUGGCAUAUUCUCUUUUUCAAAUUCAGGCAAGACCUUGCAGGAUAUGUCUUUAUCCUACUUAAAGAUCGGGAAUUUUUAGUUUGUGAAACACUUCAGGGGUCGUCUGAUCCAAACCUUUCUUUUUGAUAAUUUAUUUAUUCUGGUACCAGGGAUGGAACUUAGGACCUUGCGCUUGGGAGGCAGGCGCAGUGCCACUGAGCUAAAUCCUCAGCCCUAGACCCUUCUUUUUUAGUAACUGCAAGACUGUUUAUGACAGCUGGAAGUAGAACUGAGUCUUAGGUGCUGUCCAGACAUACUUUCCCUUAUAAAGAGUUUCUCUUACUCCUCACGGAAGAUUCUUCCUCACCCUUUACCUUUUGUCUAUCUGGACUGGCGCGUUCCUGUCUUCUAACGGGUCAGCAGGAACAGCACACACUUAGGAAAUGGGCCAUAUCCCCUGUUCUGCCAUUCUGGGGAUCCCUAAAAGCCUUCCUCGUGGUGCAGGCAAGUGGAGCCAACAAGAGCUGCUCACUCUACCUUUUCAUUAAGUAGUAUCAAGCCGAGCAGGGGCCGGGACAUAGACCACUGGUUCCUACAGUCUUCAAAGAUGAUAAUGUUCAGCACCGUGGACAGCAUCUGAAAGCAGAAUUGAAGUUCAAGCCGACUGGUGGGGAAUGGAACAGAGUCAAGCAAACAGAAGUACAGUGGCAAAACCACCCUGUAAUGUCACUUCCUGGUACCCGUCUGAGAGGAAAAAGCUUUGUGCCAUUUUUUGGAUGCAAUGGGGUUAUGAAUUAUUUUACCGCUACUUGACAGUACAACAAACAAUGGUUUUCUAUAUCCAGUGACUAUUUAGCAAACUUGAAAUCCACUGCAAUUUCAAGACCUCUCCCUCAGCAGCAUGAACCUGGCCAUGCUGCCUGGCUGCCCCUGUUGGAGAGGGCCUCCUCCCAUGGUGGGACAACCCAUCACCACUACCUGACCCCUGGGCUCCUUACCUGCUGGAUCAUCUCUG